AUGGCGUCAGAGAAAUUGAGUAGAGUUUGAACAUACCAGAACACUAAAUGAAAUAAUUAGAGCAUAAAAAAAACACAUGAAAAUUAGUUGAAUCCUUCAGAGGCACCCAAAAACAAACCAAUGUUCAAUCAUGACUUCAAAUAGGAAACAGCGAUCCAUUUAUCACUAAAUAUAUAUAUGUGGGUUCUUUGAGUUUACCUCUUCAGCGAGCAAGGCAACAGAAAGAUCCAAAUAGAGGUUUAUAUUGACUUUAAAUUUUCUACAAAGCGAACCAAUAGCGACGACCUCGACGGAACCUCUGAUUUGGUGAUUUCAGAAGUGUGUGCAGCUGUUUCUACUGCUGGUUCGAUGGAGAUGGAGUCUUAAGUAGCUGAAGUUCGGCUGUUGUUGAAGAAGAAGAUGGAGAAGGUAGGCUACGGGCAUUUUCCGGCGUUAGGCUACUGAAGUUCAGUCUUCACGAAGAAGACGAUUACGCAAGGUUGAAAGGGGAGUCCGAAACUUUUUUCGAAAAAAACAGCGCUGCUGAUUUUCAUUUUUUAAAAGAUUGCUUCUUCAUUUUUUUUUUGUUUUAUUUGAUUUUUGAAGAAGACAAUGGCCGAUAUUUUAGGUGUCUAUGUUUUAGGUGUAGGUAUUAUUAUAUAGGGGUAGGGGUUACGUUAGGUCAAAUAGGAAAUGCCGUAGGCCUUCAAUAUUUUGGGCUAUCUCAAAUUGGACCUUUUCAAUUAAAAAU
rnacentral:lncRNA from 1 species